ensembl:lncRNA
AGCAUGUUUCAUUUUAUCCGACACGUCUCCGGCGCCAGCAGUCGGCAUCGAUCCAAUAAAACAUCAGCUAUGAUGGAAGUGUGCAAUAAAUAAUCUUUAAUCUAAAAAACCAAAAAGGAUAAAAUUACAAUAGUAAGGAAAUUGUGCUUCGAUAAAACCUCAUACAGGAUUAUAAACAGUUUAGAAGGUUAUUACAUUCUCCUGAUUGUUUUGCAGAGUUAACGCCCACGGUCAUCAGAGCAGGUGCAGACGACGAGACGUCACACUGAGUGCAUGGGAUUUACAUCUUCAUCAUCCUCAUCCUCAUCUUCGUCACCUGUCGCCCUACUUCGGCAUUCCGGCGUCGUUUUCAUUUCAAGAGCGUGAUGACCAGCCUUACAGAGGGUAGGUGGACAGUGUUGAGACGCAUUGCAUGGAAACAAGGAGCAACCACUGUCCCGUUGACUAGAGAGCUGUCCCAGAAUAGCUCUCAGCCCAGUUCAUUCCGUUGCACUCUGAACAAAAUGGUGUACCAUCUAAAUAACAUUGACGGGACACAGUAAGGUUGGCAUCACAAAUCAAGUACGAGAACAUGAUUCAAGAUGAUUCCAAUGCCCUGGUAAAAGUGCAGACCGCGAAUAUCAAAUACAUGUUAUUGUCUCUAAAAAGUAGUGGACGCUAUCUAAAGUGUAGCAGCGUUGAUAUACAGUAACAUACUGUGUAUACUCUGUUGUAUCGUAUUGUUCCGUCCUGAAUCCUGAAUCCUUUGCAAUGGCUUCGAUGACUACUCUUACCUAAGAUAGGGGCUUGUUAGAUACAAUAUACACUAGACUUGGUUAAUCACUUCAUCAGUCACGUCCAGAAAGUGUGCCUCCAUCCUUCCUCCUCACAGUGUUGCAGACGUUGGUUCACAACAUUACAUUUACAUUUAGGGGAUUUUUCAGACGCUUUUAUCCGAAGCGACUUACAACCAUUCAUUCCCACACCGACGGCGGAGUCGACCACACAGGGCGACAGCCAGCUCGUCAGGAGCAGUCAGGGUGAGGCGUCUUUUCUCAGGGACACCUCGACACUGAGCUAGGAGGAGCCGGGAUGGUAACCGGAAGCAACCUUCAAGUUAGCAUCCAAUCUGCUCCACCUCCUGAGCUCCUGCCCACGAAACAUGAAUGGUACGACGUCCUACAGGCUGUGUGGCGCUCAAAGCAAACUUUGGACACUCUUUUUUUAACAUUGAACCAAACAGGAAACGGUAUCUACUCCAUUUUGAUCCUGAACAGGAAGGCGUCCAGAUUCAAACAGUGAAAGGACGGACGGCCGAGCGCUGCCCUCGUAUUUAACAAUUAUACAUCAGUCCGUACACCAUCUAUUAAUAACGGGUAUACCGACUGAGAGACAGGUAAAUAUAUGUGCUGUAUACGUGUCUGAUGUCCCCUCAGGUUUAUUCGUCAACCGCAG